rnacentral:rRNA from 1 species
GAUGAACGCUGGCGGCGUGCCUAAUACAUGCAAGUCGAGCGAAUGGAUUAAGAGCUCGCUCUUAUGAAGUUAGCGGCGGACGGGUGAGUAACACGUGGGUAACCUGCCCAUAAGACUGGGAUAACUCCGGGAAACCGGGGCUAAUACCGGAUAACAUUUUGAACCGCAUGGUUCGAAAUUGAAAGGCGGCUUCGGCUGUCACUUAUGGAUGGACCCGCGUCGCAUUAGCUAGUUGGUGAGGCAACGGCUCACCAAGGCAACGAUGCGUAGCCGACCUGAGAGGGUGAUCGGCCACACUGGGACUGAGACACGGCCCAGACUCCUACGGGAGGCAGCAGUAGGGAAUCUUCCGCAAUGGGCGAAAGUCUGACGGAGCAACGCCGCGUGAGUGAUGAAGCUUUCGGGUCGUAAAACUCUGUUGUUAGGGAAGAACAAGUGCUAGUUGAAUAAGCUGGCACCUUGACGGUACCUAACCAGAAAGCCACGGCUAACUACGUGCCAGCCGCCGCAGUAA